rnacentral:tRNA from 1 species
UCCCUGGAAGACUAGUGGUUAGGCUCAGCACUUUCACUGCCGCAGUCCGGGUUCGAUUCCCGGCCAGGGAA